rnacentral:sRNA from 1 species
AUUAAUUAAAUUAGUAUUUGACUUUUUAAUCCUUAAAGAGAUAAAUUAAUUUACUUUUUAAAAUAUUAUUUCUAAUGGCAUACCUAUGUAAUUACUUACAAAAAUUAAGGUUACAUUUAAAAUGUACUUCCCAAAUAAUAUAGUAGGAUUUCUUGGUUGUGAUCUCUCUAGCUCAUUAGAUGUCGUUUUUUUGCGACAAUAAGAAAUUUUAACUUAUCAUUGGAAAGUAAACAUCUCUAUAUCUUCGGAAGUUGU